rnacentral:rRNA from 1 species
UAAAUUUCUCCUAAGGCUAAAUAUCGGCGAGAGACCGAUAGCGAACAAGUACCGUGAGGGAAAGAUGAAAAGAACUUUGAAAAGAGAGUAAAAUAGUACGUGAAAUUGUUGAAAGGGAAACGAUUGAAGUCAGUCGUACCGACGAGAAAUCAGCUCUUCGAGUGCGAACUUGUGGGCGUGCGUGAGUCUUUAACGGGCCUCGCUGUUUGCAAUGUUUGUGCUUUUUGGGUGUACUUUUUCGUAUGGUAGGCCAACGUCAGUUUCGAUUACCAUAAAAUGAUCGGAGGAAUGUAGCUUCGAUCUCGUAUUGAAGUGUUAUAGCCUCUGGUAGAUGUGGUGACCGAAACUGAGGAUUGCAACGAAUACCCUUUGGGCUAUCCGUCUGACCUCUGAAAGUUGCUUAGGUGCCGAAAGCUUGCUUACGGUCAUUUAAGUUGACGGUCAAAAGGUUAGAACGUGAUUACAUUCGUUAAGGUAUUA